CCUGACCACGGUGGACAACGGCCCUCGACCCGCACAUGUCAACAGCUGAUUUUGGCAGGUGUGUUGGAGCAGCGUGCAGGUGUAUAAGGGGUAGCCUGCAGGUUAGAUAUGUCGUUUAUGGGGUGUCCACAGAGUGUUGCACUCAGUGGUCUCCCUGGCUGUCGUUUUAGGAACGUAUAUCAAAAUCUUCACAUGGACUUGAAAAGUGCAGUGGCCUGUUGGACCACCUGGACAGCGAGGCGCGAGAGUUGGAAGUGUUUCCAGCAUUACGUCAGAUACUCCUCUGCCGCAGAUUUGGAAGAUUUGCAAUAUUGUGGGUUGUAGAAGGUCCUUCCAAGAUAACUUCAGGAACAGUUGCAGAACAAUCGCUGGAAGUGUUAAAUGCUACAGAAAGUAGCAUAGUUGUCAGAAUUAGAGGGCCAAAAAUAUUGAUGGGAAAGUCGACCUUCAGCCCUGAGUUUGAAGGUGUUAAUUGCUUGACAUUCUGAAUUAGGUGGUAUGGAAGAUUACAAUGUCAUCAAAGCAUUGACUGGCUUCAGUGUGGUUGUUCUACUCUGCAAAUCUACGAAAGUUGGUUGUGGGAAGCUGCUCCUCCUAGAUGCAAUCCACUGAAGACUCAAAGAUCAACAAAAGGCCAGGGAAAACCAGAGUACCAAGGACAACAUCCACCUGUAAAGAAAAAAUAAAGUAUAUCAAACAGG
rnacentral:lncRNA from 1 species